AUUGAACGCUGGCGGCAGGCCUAAUACAUGCAAGUCGAACGGCAGCACAGCAGAGCUUGCUCUGUGGGUGGCGAGUGGCGGACGGGUGAGGAAUACAUGGGAAUCUGCCCAGUCGUGGGGGAUAACGUAUGGAAACGUACGCUAAUACCGCAUGCGCCCUACGGGGGAAAGUCGGGGACCGCAAGGCCUGACGCGAUUGGAUGAGCCCAUGUUCGAUUAGCUAGUUGGCGGGGUAAAGGCCCACCAAGGCGACGAUCGAUAGCUGGUCUGAGAGGAUGAUCAGCCACACUGGAACUGAGACACGGUCCAGACUCCUACGGGAGGCAGCAGUAGGGAAUAUUGGACAAUGGGGGCAACCCUGAUCCAGCCAUGCCGCGUGAGUGAAGAAGGCCCUCGGGUUGUAAAGCUCUUUUGUCCGGAAAGAAAGCAAUCGGUUAAUACCCGGUUGUUCUGACGGUACCGGAAGAAUAAGCACCGGCUAACUUCGUGCC
rnacentral:rRNA from 1 species